GAAAUGCGAUAACUAGUGUGAAUUGCAGAAUUCCGUGAAUCAUCGAGUCUUUGAACGCACAUUGCGCCCCCUGGUAUUCCGGGGGGCAUGCCUGUCCGAGCGUCAUUGCUGCCCAUCAAGCACGGCGUGUGUGUUGGGUCGUCGUCCCCUCUCCGGGGGGGACGGGCCCCAAAGGCAGCGGCGGCACCGCGUCCGAUCCUCGAGCGUAUGGGGCUUUGUCACCCGCUCUGUAGGCCCGGCCGGCGCUUGCCGAACGCAAAUCAAUCUUUUUCCAGGUUGACCUCGGAUCAGGUAGGGAUACCCGCUGAACUUAAGC
rnacentral:misc_RNA from 1 species